GACGAACCGUGCGAACGUUAUUCGGAAUCACUGGGCUUAAAGCGCGUGUAGGCGGGUCGGCGCGUCGGACGCUGAAAUCCCCCGGCUCAACCGGGGAAGGGGCGCCGAGACGGCCGGCCUGGAGGGACGUAGGGGGGGGCUGGAACUUCCGGUGGAGCGGUGAAAUGCGUUGAGAUCGGAAGGAACGCCCGUGGCGAAAGCGAGCCCCUGGACGUCUACUGACGCUGAGACGCGAAAGCCAGGGGAGCGAACGGG
rnacentral:rRNA from 1 species